rnacentral:rRNA from 1 species
AACGAACGCUGGCGGCAUGCCUAACACAUGCAAGUCGAACGAGACCUUCGGGUCUAGUGGCGCACGGGUGCGUAACGCGUGGGAACCUGCCCUUAGGUUCGGAAUAACUCCCCGAAAGGGGUGCUAAUACCGGAUAAUGUCUUCGGACCAAAGAUUUAUCGCCUUUGGAUGGGCCCGAGUUGGAUUAGCUAGUUGGUAGGGUAAAAGCCUACCAAGGCGACGUUCCAUAGCUGGUCUGAGAGGAUGAUCAGCCACACUGGGACUGAGACACGGCCCAGACUCCUACGGGAGGCGGCAGUGGGGAAUAUUGGACAAUGGGGGAAAGCCUGAUCCAGCAAUGCCGCGUGAGUGAUGAAGGCCUUAGGGUUGUAAAGCUCUUUUACCCGGGAUGAUAAUGACAGUACCGGGAGAAUAAGCUCCGGCUAACUCCGUG